CCCGGGCCUUGUACACACCGCCCGUCACACCAUGGGAGCGGGAUGUACCAGAAGUAGGUAGGCUAACCGCAAGGGGGCCGCUUACCACGGUGCGUUUCGUGACUGGGGUG
rnacentral:rRNA from 1 species